rnacentral:rRNA from 1 species
UGGGGAAUAUUGCACAAUGGGCGCAAGCCUGAUGCAGCCAUGCCGCGUGUAUGAAGAAGGCCUUCGGGUUGUAAAGUACUUUCAGCGGGGAGGAAGGGAGUAAAGUUAAUACCUUUGCUCAUUGACGUUACCCGCAGAAGAAGCACCGGCUAACUCCGUGCCAGCAGCCGCGGUAAUACGGAGGGUGCAAGCGUUAAUCGGAAUUACUGGGCGUAAAGCGCACGCAGGCGGUUUGUUAAGUCAGAUGUGAAAUCCCCGGGCUCAACCUGGGAACUGCAUCUGAGACUGGCAAGCUUGAGUCUCGUAGAGGGGGGUAGAAUUCCAGGUGUAGCGGUGAAAUGCGUAGAGAUGUGGAGGAAUACCGGGGGCGAAGGCGGCCCCCUGGACAAAGACUGACGCUCAGGUGCGAAAGCGUGGGGAGCAAACAGG